CGCAGAGCAACAUCCAGGCGGAACUGGGGCGUCGCCGGCUCCAGGGACCAACACACCCGGUGUGAAAAGGUGGUGGCACGCGGAGCGGUGCGCAUGCGCGGGCAGUUCUCGGGGUGAAGGGUUGAGAGCCUGACCGGGCGGCCAGGUGGGCUGGAGCGGAGCAGCGUCAGGAUGGACGAGGACGUGCUGCCCGCCCUGAAGGUCCUCAUCAUCGGCGAGAGCGGCGUCGGCAAGUCCAGGCGCGAGGGGAGUGAUACUGACAAUAGUUAGACUUGAGUGUGUGGCGCAGACAUGGAGCUCGCGGUGUAGGAAGAGCGUCCUGAUUUCGUCCAGGUGGAUCACUGCCUAGGAAGGCUCUGCGAGAGGACUUUUGAAGAUGAGCUCGAAGUACAGUGUUGAUUUAAUUGAGGUUCUUCCACUACACCACAGUCUUUUAAGUGAUUUCUUGUUCUUCAUUCCUCUCCCGCAAAGGUAUGUGGAUCUAAUCUGUUCCAAACUUUUCUUCCAUACUUAGUAGUGAGUUGUCAGAUGCUCACUGCAGUAGUUGAACACCUUUAAUACCUCUUUCAAGAAGGAUGGCAUUUGUGAAAAAGUGUCUUAUUUUUCUAGCAAGAUAAACAUUUUUUAUGUUAUGCUAUGGAAAAUAAACCUUGAUACAUAUAUUUCUGUGUAAGAUGAAAACAAAUAAUUCCACUAAAAUGGAAAUAGAUGAUUUUAAAGUGAAUUAGCAUAAAAACAUAGGUCAUGGAUAUAAUCUGAAAGGGUUCUAGCCAGAAGUUGGUUUCUGUUUUUGCAGAAACCCAGUGUGGCAAUAAGACAUCACUUGUGUUGUUGAAAAAUCAUUGCACAAGAGUCUUUAAUUCAAAUUUGAGUGUUAUUAUUCCAGUUAAUUUCAGACUUGGAGAAUCAACUACGUGUGAGAUCAGGAUUUUGAAAUCAAUGCUUCCAUUUAUGUGACCUUAUGUGAACACUGAAGGCCUUCAUUUUUCACUUUGACAAAUGAGGGUAGAAUAGAAAUCUCUCAAACCCUAUCUGAUGUUAAAUAUGUCAAAUUCUUUGUUUCUGUGGCUGGGCAUAGUGAACUAAAAUAGCGAAGUGUUUCAGAAAGGGUUAGAGAAACCUAUUAUCCAAAUUGCUUUCCCUCCAAUGAUCUUUUUAUCCCCUUUCUUUUUGGCCAGUUUCAUACCGGGGAUCGAACUGGUGCUGCAGAGUAUGCAGGCAGCUUUGCAGCCCAGCACUUAACCGCUGUGCCACCAGAGGAGGCCCUGCUUUUAAAGUUAUUUUAUGUUCCAGAAGUGAUAUGACCUUUACUGUAACAGCACAAAUAAUGUAGGAAAUGGAUGGUAUUUCUUAUUCAGCAAUCAGAAAAAUUCGUAAUAUUUUGCCUCCUCUUUGACUCUCGGGCUCCUAGCUUAGGCGCUUGCUCACACAGAAUUUCCAUCAGAGAAGAUGAAAGAUGCAGGUGCACUUUUACAGGGAACAUUAUCUGGUAGCCUGUUAUUUGAAUAACAUUUUAAAAGACUGCAUUAGAGAAGAUAGAAAAUGGGGAGAAGAUAGAAAAUGAGGGAAAGAGCCCAGGUUUGUUCAUGUAUUUGUAUGAUUUCAUCAGUUGCCCAUUGCAGAGAAUAAAAUAUGUCUUAAGAAGAAAUAAUUCAGUAAAAAGAGAAAAAAACAGAAAAUUAAACCUUGACGUAUUAGUAAAUUCGGGAAUCUGGUUUGCAAUCUCUCUCCCUCUCCACCUCUCUCCAUCCUAUGAGAGAGAAAGAGAGAGAAUGGCUGCCACCACUACUGGUAACAUCUCUUUGAAAAAUGUGCAUACUUACUAGGACCGUCUUGCAUUCAUGCAAAUAUCUUUUUCUUCAAUAAACGACAAAAAAAUCAAUCUUUACAUUUUCUCGUGGCCUACAAUUGAUUCUUGGCUCAAGAUUUCAUUGGCUUUAUGACUUUAUGGAUGAAUUGUGCAUUAGUUUAACACCUGGAUUAUAGUUGUUUUUAUUGUUGUUGUUGUCGUCUUGGAGAGAUAAAAAAAUAGAAAUAUAUUAAAUUUCUUUCCAUUCAUGGUCUUUUAAAAUCCUUAUCUUGAUGAUUUUACUCAUCAUCUCAGUGGUGAUAGUUAUUAUUUGGAUGAUUUGAUAGUCAACAUGGGUUAACUCAACCUAAACCUUUGAGAGGAUGAGAAUCAUUUUAUUGGAACGACACAGCAACAGAGGAGGAAAAAAGUGGCAUCAUUCGGAUUUCUUUAAGAAAAUCCCUGGGUGUUGGACAAAGCUGUACAAAACAUUGUCCAUCAACUGCUUUCACGCCAAGCGUAGGCACACACUCCUUGACUGUUUUUUGCUGUUGCUGAUAUAGUUGUGUGUUUCCCUGAAGUAAGCCCGCCUCCAUGUGUUUUUAGUGUCUGUUAAACUGAUUCUCCAUAAAUGCUUAGGGAACAGACUUUGAGUUUGAGGAACAAUUUCCCUUUGGUUGCAUUUAGUUGUGUCACAUUAUGGAAUUCCUUUUCCUCCUCUGCCUUUCAAAAAGGUCGCUCUCCAUAGAGAUAUUGAAUGGUUCCUGCAUUUGGGAUUUUGCUUCAGCACAGCCAGCUUGUGCUGAAGAUCUGGAGGGCGUGGCUGGAGUUCCCAGUGAAUGAUGGCCUUUGUUACAGUGAAAUGAGAUGUGGGCACUUAUGAAAUCCCUCUGGAAUGUCAGUUCACUUUAUGACUUUUCUACUUAGGAAAAGCUAAAAACCUUACGGUGAAACUUCAAAUCUAAAAAACUGUUAAGAUAGUUAAGUGCCAUUUGAAUUUUAAUUCAAAAUCAGUUUCUUUUAAAUACACCAAAAUUGAUGUCAAUGCUGAGUUUUUUAGAAAAGAGAAUAAUCAUGAUUGAUAAUGUCAUAGUA